GACGUAGGGUGCAAGCGUUGUCCGGAUUUAUUGGGCGUAAAGAGCUCGUAGGCGGCUCGUUGCGUCAGCUGUGAAAACCCAGGGCUUAACCGUGGGCUUGCAGCUGAUACGGGCGGGCUGGAGUUCGGUAGGGGAGACUGGAAUUCCUGGUGUAGCGGUGAAAUGCGCAGAUAUCAGGAGGAACACCGGUGGCGAAGGCGGGUCUCUGGGCCGAUACUGACGCUGAGGAGCGAAAGCGUGGGGAGCGAACAGG
rnacentral:rRNA from 1 species